AAUCAACGCUGGCGGCGCGCCUAACACAUGCAAGUCGAACGAGAAAGCCGGAGCAAUCUGGUAAGUAAAGUGGCGUACGGGUGAGUAACACGUGGAUCAUCUGCCCUUUUGUGGGGAAUACCGCUGGGAAACCGGCGACAAUACCGCAUAAGCCCGAGAGGGGAAAGCAGCAAUGCGCAGAAGGAGGAGUCCGCGGUCGAUUAGUUAGUUGGCGGGGUAAAGGCCCACCAAGACUGUGAUCGAUAGCCGGCCUGAGAGGGCACACGGCCA
rnacentral:rRNA from 1 species